rnacentral:SRP_RNA from 1 species
GCUGGGCAUGGUGGUGCAUGCCUGUAAUCUCAGCUACUCAGGAGGCUGAGGCAGGAGAAUUGCUUGAACCCAGGAGGCAGAGGUUGUGGUGAGCGGAGAUUGUGCCACUACACUCCAGCCUGGGUAACAGAGUGAGACACUGUCUCAA